rnacentral:rRNA from 1 species
AUUGAACGCUGGCGGCAGGCCUAACACAUGCAAGUCGAACGGUAACAGGAAGCAGCUUGCUGCUUUGCUGACGAGUGGCGGACGGGUGAGUAAUGUCUGGGAAACUGCCCGAUGGAGGGGGAUAACUACUGGAAACGGUAGCUAAUACCGCAUAACGUCGCAAGACCAAAGAGGGGGACCUUAGGGCCUCUUGCCAUCGGAUGUGCCCAGAUGGGAUUAGCUAGUAGGUGGGGUAACGGCUCACCUAGGCGACGAUCCCUAGCUGGUCUGAGAGGAUGACCAGCCACACUGGAACUGAGACACGGUCCAGACUCCUACGGGAGGCAGCAGUGGGGAAUAUUGCACAAUGGGCGCAAGCCUGAUGCAGCCAUGCCGCGUGUAUGAAGAAGGCCUUCGGGUUGUAAAGUACUUUCAGCGGGGAGGAAGGGAGUAAAGUUAAUACCGUUGCUCAUUGACGUUACCCGCAGAAGAAGCACCGGCUAACUCCGUG